rnacentral:rRNA from 1 species
UACGAAGGGGGGCUAGCGUUGCUCGGAAUUACUGGGCGUAAAGCGCACGUAGGCGGAUUGUUAAGUCGGGGGUGAAAUCCUGGAGCUCAACUCCAGAACUGCCUUCGAUACUGGCGAUCUCGAGUUCGGGAGAGGUGAGUGGAACUGCGAGUGUAAGAGGUGAAAUUCGUAGAUAUUCGCAAGAACACCAGUGGCGAAGGCGGCUCACUGGCCCGAUACUGACGCUGAGGUGCGAAAGCGUGGGAAG